UCGAGUUAGGGUCCUUUGGGCCCGAUCUCCAACCCUGUGUCUAAUUACCAUGUUGCUUUGGCGGGCCCGUCUCACGGCCGCCGGGGGUCUCCAGACCUCUGGCCAGCGCCCGCCAACAGCCCCCACAAAUUCUUGACAAAACUGUGAUGUCUGAAUUAUAAACUUAAUAGUUA
rnacentral:misc_RNA from 1 species